CCUACGGGCGGCAGCAGUGGGGAAUAUUGGACAAUGGGCGAAAGCCUGAUCCAGCCAUGCCGCGUGUGUGAAGAAAGCCUUCGGGUUGUAAAGCACUUUCAGUGGGGAAGAAAGCCUUGGGGCUAAUACCCUCGAGGAAGGACAUCACCCACAGAAGAAGCACCGGCUAACUCCGUGCCAGCAGCCGCGGUAAUACGGAGGGUGCGAGCGUUAAUCGGAAUUACUGGGCGUAAAGCGCGCGUAGGCGGUCUGAUAAGCCGGUUGUGAAAGCCCCGGGCUCAACCUGGGAACGGCAUCCGGAACUGUCAGGCUAGAGUGCAGGAGAGGAAGGUAGAAUUCCCGGUGUAGCGGUGAAAUGCGUAGAGAUCGGGAGGAAUACCAGUGGCGAAGGCGGCCUUCUGGACUGACACUGACGCUGAGGUGCGAAAGCGUGGGUAGCAAACAGGAUUAGAUACCCGUGUAGUC
rnacentral:rRNA from 1 species